rnacentral:lncRNA from 1 species
AUGAUCCCACUGGGGAAAGCCACAUCCCUCCCCUCCCAGCCAACAGCAGCAACAAACAGCUGGGAGAUGGACAGAGCUGGAUUCUGGGAGGAAUCUCUGCUUUGGCCCACAGGGAAGCAUUUAGGAUGGCGCUCUCUGCUGCAGCAUCACUCCGAGCAGCAGCAGCAGGGAUUGCAGGGGAAGCCUCCACGCCUGGUGGGAAGGGAAAAGAGCUGCAGGACUCCCACCAGCAUCUCCACUUCUCCAUCCCCGUGGAGCUCAGCCCGCAGGAAUGAUCCUUGUCCUGGUUUGAAGGACAGGAGAUGUGUUGGCUUGUGGUUCAUGGAGGUGCACGGCACGAAAAGAAACGGAGAAAAGGAGCUGGAUGCCGCGGGGACGUGGAGAAAAAGACCUUUCUACAUGGACACCAUCAUCCUUCUUGGGGCUGGGUGAAGAGCAGGGCUGGCACUCGACAGAGAACUGGGAAAUGAGGGAAAUAGAGGAAUUUCCCACAUCUUCCAUCCCACCUCCCCGCUGGAGCCGGAGCAUCUCCAGCCCGAGCAGCGCUGCAGCGGCGAGCGAUCGGUCAGGGGUGGGCGUGGGCAGGGAGAAAUAAAACCAGCAUCAAAUCACAGAUGGAAGGAUCUUUGCUCCCCACCAAUCCUCUCCGUCCAUCCCUUCCCUCUGCCCAUGGGAUGGGUGCCCCAGGGUCCUUGCCCCCAGCCCCUUCUAGCACAUGACCUUGAGGGCCAGAUGCUGAAGGUUAUUUGGGGGCACUGCUGUGUUAAUCAAAGCUGCUUAAUUCCCCCCAUAAUCCAAGUGGGGACGGAGCCUGGCAGGUCCCUGCCGCUAUGUUUACAUCGGACUGGGGGUGGAGGGAGGAAGGAGGGGACAGGGAGGGGGGGGGGGGGGGGGGGGGGGGGGGGGGGGGGGGGGGGGGGGGGGGGG